rnacentral:rRNA from 2 species
CUGGCCUUGACAUCCACGGAAUUUGGCAGAGAUGCCUUAGUGCCUUCGGGAACCGUGAGACAGGUGCUGCAUGGCUGUCGUCAGCUCGUGUUGUGAAAUGUUGGGUUAAGUCCCGCAACGAGCGCAACCCUUAUCCUUUGUUGCCAGCACGUAAUGGUGGGAACUCAAAGGAGACUGCCGGUGAUAAACCGGAGGAAGGUGGGGAUGACGUCAAGUCAUCAUGGCCCUUACGGCCAGGGCUACACACGUGCUACAAUGGCGCAUACAAAGAGAAGCGACCUCGCGAGAGCAAGCGGACCUCAUAAAGUGCGUCGUAGUCCGGAUCGGAGUCUGCAACUCGACUCCGUGAAGUCGGAAUCGCUAGUAAUCGUAGAUCAGAAUGCUACGGUGAAUA